CCAGUUUGGGGAUGAGUGUCUGGGUGUGUCUGUGACUGGCAGGAAGCGGAGCAGAGCCUCCUCGGCCGCUGGGUUUGGGCUUCUGUGUCUGUGGGGUACAGACAGCAGCUGCAGGUUGCUGGGUCCCCGGGGCCCCAGAGGCUGUCCUGGUGGUGAUGGGGAUGGGUGGAGAGCUAGGAUGACAGUUAUUUCCUUAAGGGCACUUUUCUCAGUAAAUGGAAUUGUUGUAUGGAUGACUCUGGAACAAGAAUCAACUCCGCGAGGCUUUGUUCGGGCCUCUGGAUGCUGAAGCGAGACAUCUGAGGGUCUCCAAUAAUGAGGCUACUGAAGCUCUUCCAGUGGUGAGGCAUUUUCCAUCCGUGUGACCUGCACAGUGCUUAGCAUGUCCAGCCCUUAGCAUGUAUUAGGUCACUUGGUCGUCCAGCACUCCCGUGAUGGAGGCACCACUCCUGCACACAGGGAAACUGAGGAGAAACAGCAAAAGAAAACACAGCAGGCCAGGCAAAGUGGCUCAUGCGUGUUAUCCCAGCACUUUGGGAGGCCAAGGCAGAUGGAUUUGACCCUAGGAGGCAGAGGUUGCAGUGAGCCAAGAUUGCACCACUGCACUCCAGCCUGUACGACAGAGCGAGACCCUAUAUCGAAAAAAAAAAAAAAAGAAAAAAGAAAAGAAAACACAGCAAAAUGUUCGUGGUUAACAGCACUAUGGGUAAGUUCAGCUUUGCACUUUUCUAUAACAACAUGAAUAACAUAUCAAGAUUAAUUAUAUUUUAAAAAUAUCUUUUUUCUUAUCUUGAAAGUCAUGUUUAUUUUUCGUAAAACAAUAUGAAUAAGGAGAAGAAGAAAAACAUGUUAACAUUUCAUGUAUUUCCUUCCAGUCCUUUCUCCACACAUAUUUCCACAUCUAUAAAUAGAUAGGCUUUUGACUAGGGAAGAAAAAUCCCAAGGAAUUUUGGAGGCAUUCUCUCUGAGCUUGGAGGUCUCAGUUCCCUGGAAGUUCCCUGCAGCUCUGGGAAGCGCUGGGCGGCUGGCCCAGGCCUGUGGGGUGAGAGCUGCUCCCUGCCCAGGAUCUCGGGCCAGGGUGAGCCCAUCACCUCACCAUCCUCCAGCAGAACGCUGCCCCUCAUUGAUCCCAGGCCCAACUUCUCCAGUCCAGCCUCCUGGCCCUGGUCCUGCUUCUUGCCUCCCUUUCCAGGGACCUCUAAGCAACCCAUUUGCUAAUGAAUCCUGACCUUUGCAACAUCUCAAGCCUCUAACCCGUGGGAGACUUUUGCCUCUUUCAAGUGGUUUGGCAGUUGUUGGCCACGGGUGGGGGAUUUUCCGUUUCGGUUCCAUGAGUUGGCCAAUCAGCAGCAGAUUUGGCCCCGGAGGUUUGGUGGGGCCGGGGCCUGCUGGGCCCUGCCCGGCCUCACCCUGCUCAGGUGGGGAUACUUGCCACCAGGCUGUGCCAGAGCUGGCUGCCCUGGGCCCCUGGGAAUCUGUUGGCAGCACUCAAGUGGCCCUGCAGGGCUGGCGACUCAUUCACCCCCACAAGCAAGGCCAGCUCACCCUUCCCAGGCUCAGGGGCUCUCUGCUCUUCCUAAGAAAUGCCAUGCACACUGGGGAUAAG
rnacentral:lncRNA from 1 species